UAAUUAGACUUCAAGACGACAUUUUAAAGCAUUGAUAUAAGGUAAUUCUUAAAUUUAAAGCAUUAAGGGAAGUAAAAGAUAGAAAUGGAGACUUGCUGAAAAUCAUUAAUUACAUGUCCAUAAAUUCGGGAAAAUUAUUAAAGCAAAUACCAUCUCUUUAAAAGUAACUUAUCGAGUCGGGAUAUUUAUCAGAAAGAUUUUAUUCAUGAUCUUCACGAAGGGAUAUAUCUACUUCUUCAACAGGAUCUCCUACUUCGUCUCUAGCAAAGAGAGGCUCCUCAUCAUCACGCUAAAAUAAUAAAGAAUUUUUAAACCUAAUAAUUACAUUGUAUAGUUACAUUGUAUAGUUAUUCAAAAUGGAUUAAAAGGAAUAAAAUCGAAGUACACCUGAUUCAAUAUUCCUAUAAUAAAAUCUCUCAGCUUCAAACGAAUAAAAUCAGUAAUAGCUCGCAUUAUUGUUUCAAUUGACAUGUUUUAUCCUUAAAUGUAAUAAAACAAAAUUAUUUUUAUCGGAAGAAAUUUAAAACAAUAUAAUAUUACAGAUAAGAAUGGGAGAAAGAAUAUUGUUCACUCUAAGUGUGUUACUUCUUUAUCGAAGGAUGGAAGGAAUUCCUCCAGAAAGAACAGAACAGAUAAACAAAGCAGACAGAUUGCCAGAUAGAAAACCCUUAAUUGCGGACACUUUAACAAAAACAAAUUUGAGGUUAGUGUAUCGUCGUGUUCGUGGUUCCUGGUUAUCGCUAGCAUCAAUAAUAGCGUGAUGAUGAGGAGCCUCUCUUUGCUAGAGACGAAGUAGGAGAUCCUGUUGAAGAAGUAGAUAUAUCCCUUCGUGAAGAUCAUGAAUAGAAUCUUUCUGAUAAAUAUCCUGACUCGAUAAGUUACUUUUAAAGAGAUGGUAUUUGCUUUAAUAAUUUUCCCGAAUUUAUGGACAUGUAAUUAAUGAUUUUCAGCAAGUCUCCAUUUCUAUCUUUUACUUCCCUUAAUGCUUUAAAUUUAAGAAUUACCUUAUAUGAAUGCUUUAAAAUGUCGUCUUGAAGUCUUAUU